rnacentral:rRNA from 1 species
GACGAACGCUGGCGGCGUGCUUAACACAUGCAAGUCGAGCGGUAAGGCCCUUUCGGGGGUACACGAGCGGCGAACGGGUGAGUAACACGUGGGUGACCUGCCCUUAGCUCUGGGAUAAGCCUGGGAAACUGGGUCUAAUACCGGAUAUGACUCCAUGACGCAUGUUGUGGGGUGGAAAAGCCUUGUGCGGCUAGGGAUGGGCCCGCGGCCUAUCAGCUUGUUGGUGGGGUGAUGGCCUACCAAGGCGACGACGGGUAGCCGGCCUGAGGGGCGACCGGCCACACUGGGACUGAGACACGGCCCAGACUCCUACGGGAGGCAGCAGUGGGGAAUAUUGCACAAUGGGCGAAAGCCUGAUGCAGCGACGCCGCGUGA